CCUACGGGAGACUGCAGUGAGGAAUAUUGGUCAAUGGACGGAAGUCUGAACCAGCCAUGCCGCGUGCAGGAUGACGGCUCUAUGAGUUGUAAAAUGCUUUUGUACGAGAAUAAUAGUUCUUACGUGUAGGGAUUUGAAUGUAUCGUACGAAUAAGGAUCGGCUAACUCCGUGCCAGCAGCCGCGGUAAUACGGAGGAUUCGAGCGUUAUCCGGAUUUAUUGGGUUAAAAGGGUGCGUAGGCGGGACCUUAAGUCAGCGGUAAACUUGCGGUUCUCAACGCCGUAGAGCCGUUGAAACUGGGGGUCUUGAGUGAGCGAGAGGUAUGCGGAAUGCGUGGUGUAGCGGUGAAAUGCAUAGAUAUCACGCAGAACCCCGAUUGCGAAGGCAGCAUACCGGCGCUCAACUGACGCUGAGGCACGAAAGUGCGGGUAUCGAACAGGAUUAGAUACCCGAGUAGUC
rnacentral:rRNA from 1 species